rnacentral:lncRNA from 1 species
ACUAUUUUUCUGGUGGGACCCUAAGUGUUCUUCCCUAUUGUCUCCUUAGGACAAGCCACGCCAGGGCCAAAGCCGAGGCAUCGGAACAGGCUGCUCUGGCCGCCAACCAGGAGUCGAACAUUGCCCGCACUCUGGCCAGGGAGCUGGCUCCGGACUUCUACCAGCCAGGUCCGGAAUAUCAGAAGCGCCGGCUGCUGCAGGAGAUCCU